GAAUUCACUAGUGAUUCAGGCCUAACACAUGCAAGUCGAGCGGUAGAGAGAAGCUUGCUUCUCUUGAGAGAAGCGGACGGGUGAGUAAUGCCUAGGAAUCUGCCUGGUAGUGGGGGAUAACGUUCGGAAACGGACGCUAAUACCGCAUACGUCCUACGGGAGAAAGCAGGGGACCUUCGGGCCUUGCGCUAUCAGAUGAGCCUAGGUCGGAUUAGCUAGUUGGUGAGGUAAUGGCUCACCAAGGCGACGAUCCGUAACUGGUCUGAGAGGAUGAUCAGUCACACUGGAACUGAGACACGGUCCAGACUCCUACGGGAGGCAGCAGUGGGGAAUAUUGGACAAUGGGCG
rnacentral:rRNA from 1 species